AAAUCUAGUUGUAUUUAUGUGAGAUAAACCUGAUAUCCAGGAUUACGUGGCAUGCUGAAAGAAUCAGAUAGUUCUACUAUCCGGUAACUGUACUAUAGCACGAAAGAAAAGUUAAAACUUCUAGCAGGUGGUUUCUUCUAAUAAGGCGAAUGCUUGUGCCUCUGUACAAUCGACUGCAGGCAGAUCAUAUACAAGUGAUUUCGUAGUAUAAAAUAAUGCCAGAACCAUAGAGUACUUACAUAGUUGGUCGCACUAGCGCUGAAGCAGAGAGGCAAAACCAAAGUGAUGAUAAAGUUUCACUGUAAACGUUCAUAAAUGCUAAAUUAAAUGUGUCCAUGAUAUGUAUUCCAUAAACACAAGUCGAACCAUAAUGGAAAUACGGGCAUAUUAAGGUUUGCCAAAAAUAAUGAAUUGUACUUCAUUUGAAACAUCAAUAAAAGUAAUUAGUGUA
rnacentral:lncRNA from 1 species